rnacentral:rRNA from 1 species
GACGAACGCUGGCGGCGUGCCUAAUACAUGCAAGUAGAACGCACAGUUUAUACCGUAGCUUGCUACACCAUAGACUGUGAGUUGCGAACGGGUGAGUAACGCGUAGGUAACCUGCCUGGUAGCGGGGGAUAACUAUUGGAAACGAUAGCUAAUACCGCAUAAUAUUGAUUAUUGCAUGAUAAUUGAUUGAAAGAUGCUAUUGCAUCACUACCAGAUGGACCUGCGUUGUAUUAGCUAGUAGGUGAGGUAACGGCUCACCUAGGCGACGAUACAUAGCCGACCUGGGGGGGUGAUGGGCCACACGGGAACUGAGACCCGGCCCAAACCCCUAGGGGGGGCAGCGGUGGGGAAUUUUCGGCAAUGGCGGAAGGUUGGCCCGGGCAACGCCGCGUGGGGGAAGAAGGUUUUGGGAUUGUAAAGCUUUUUUGUAAGGGAAGAAGGGGGGGGGGAGGGGAAAGUUCACACUGGGAGGGUUUUUUACCAGAAAGGGGGGGCGAACUGCGU